rnacentral:rRNA from 1 species
GACCGCUGGCGGCGUGCUUAACACAUGCAAGUCGAACGAGAAAGGGCUCUUCGGAGCCCGAGUAAAGUGGCGCACGGGUGAGUAACGCGUAGAUAACCUGUCCUGGUGUCUGGGAUAACCCACCGAAAGGUGGACUAAUACCGGAUACGCUUGCUGAGCGGAAGCGAUGCAAGGAAAGAUGGCCUCUGAUGUAAGCUAUCGCACCUCGAGGGGUCUGCGUACCAUUAGCUUGUUGGUGGGGUAACGGCCUACCAAGGCAACGAUGGUUAGCGGGUCUGAGAGGAUGAUCAGCCACACUGGAACUGAGACACGGUCCAGACUCCUACGGGAGGCAGCAGUGAGGAAUCUUGCGCAAUGGGGGCAACCCUGACGCAGCAACGCCGCGUGGAGGAAGAAGGUCUUCGGAUUGUAAACUCCUUUUCUGAGGGAAGAAGUAUGACGGUACCUCAGGAAUAAGCCGCCGCUAACUCCGUGCCAGCAGCCCGCGGUAAUACGGGGGGCGCAAGCGUUACUCGGAAUCACUGGGCGUAAAGGGUGCGUAGGCGGUUACCUAAGCUGGGUGUGAAAGCCCACGGCUCAACCGUGGAAUUGCAUUCAGAACUGGGUGACUAGAGUCCGGGAGAGGCAGAUGGAAUUAGUGGUGUAGGGGUAAAAUCCGUAGAGAUCACCUAGGAAUACCUAUUGCGAAGGCGACUGACUGGAACUUAACUGACGCUGAGACGUGAAAGCGUGGGGAGCAAACAGGAUUAGAUACCCUGGUAGUCCACGCCCUAAACGAUGUACACUAGUUGUUGCCAUGCUAGUCAUGGCAGUGAUGCAGCUAACGCAUUAAGUGUACCGCCUGGGGAGUACGGUCGCAAGAUUAAAACUCAAAGGAAUAGACGGGGACCCGCACAAGUGGUGGAGCAUGUGGUUUAAUUCGAAGAUACGCGAAGAACCUUACCUGGGCUUGACAUCCCAAGAAUCGACCAGAGAUGGUUGAGUGCCUGCUUUGCAGGAGCUUGGUGACAGGUGCUGCACGGCUGUCGUCAGCUCGUGUCGUGAGAUGUUGGGUUAAGUCCCGCAACGAGCGCAACCCUCGUCCUUAGUUGCUAGCAGUUUGGCUGAGCACUCUAAGGAGACUGCCUUCGUAAG